AUCCCAGCUAAGUUGAUUAAGUACUUAUCUGAUUCAUGGAACGCCUAAAUCAAUGUUGCAAGUUUCGCUGAUAAUACCUUCUUCAUUUUUAACCCCAGAAGGUGUUUUAUUAGUAACUCUGCUUACACCA
rfam:Arabis alpina cultivar Pajares Aa.chr5_contig_3473, whole genome shotgun sequence.